CGAAAGCUAUUUAGGUAGCGCCUCGUGAAUUCAUCUCCGGGGGUAGAGCACUGUUUCGGCUAGGGGGCCAUCCCGGCUUACCAACCCGAUGCAAACUGCGAAUACCGGAGAAUGUUAUCACGGGAGACACACGGCGGGUGCUAACGUCCGUCGUGAAGAGGGAAACAACCCAGACCGCCAGCUAAGGUCCCAAAGUCAUGGUUAAGUGGGAAACGAUGUGGGAAGGCCCAGACAGCCAGGAUGUUGGCUUAGAAGCAGCCAUCAUUUAAAGAAAGCGUAAUAGCUCACUGGUCGAGUCGGCCUGCGCGGAAGAUGUAACGGGGCUAAACCAUGCACCGAAGCUGCGGCAGCGACACUGUGUGUUGUUGGGUAGGGGAGCGUUCUGUAAGCCUGUGAAGGUGUGUCGUGAGGCAUGCUGGAGGUAUCAGAAGUGCGAAUGCUGACAUAAGUAACGAUAAAGCGGGUGAAAAGCCCGCUCGCCGGAAGACCAAGGGUUCCUGUCCAACGUUAAUCGGGGCAGGGUGAGUCGACCCCUAAGGCGAGGCCGAAAGGCGUAGUCGAUGGGAAACGGGUUAAUAUUCCCGUACUUGGUGUUACUGCGAAGGGGGGACGGAGAAGGCUAUGUUGGCCGGG
rnacentral:rRNA from 1 species